rnacentral:ncRNA from 2 species
AUGAUGACAUGCUCAGUGGGCGUCCUAGCCUGCUGGGUAUUGAGGGAACAGGGUGAAAUACCCUGACUGUACCCGCAACUGUAAUGGUUUAGCUUUGGUCGUAUAUCCACUGGAGAGAUCUGGGAAGGAAGACUGAAUGCCGUGAUGCCAGAGUCAGGAGACCUGCCUUUAUAAAGCGACCAGC